UCUAGUUUAUACAUACAUGCACUUUACUAAAAGCAUAAACAAUGGCACUCAAACUUAAUGUUAUUUUAACUAAAAAGGCAGCAGAAGGUGAAGCAUGUGUAAACAUUACACUACAAAGUGAACAAUAUAACUCGAGUGAAAGGAUAACAGCAAACACUUUAAGACCAUACAUCAUUGAGAGCAACAUAUCAGAAGAUGAAUGCCCUAUGGACGAUCUUAUCAGUUGUGCUAGUAUGUACAUUAACUGGAUCUUCUAAAAGUUACUACAAUGGAUACAUGGAUUGUUCUACUUCUCAUGAUUUUGGUGAAAUAACAAAUGUAACAUCAAAUACACUUGGAAAAACAGUUAAGCCAGGACAAAACUACAUUAUCAGAGGAAUCAUAAAAUUAAGUAAUGAAGAUAAUCAAUUGCUCAAU